rnacentral:rRNA from 1 species
GAUGAACGCUGGCGGCGUGCUUAACACAUGCAAGUCGAACGAUGAAGCUCAGCUUGCUGGGUGGAUUAGUGGCGAACGGGUGAGUAACACGUGAGUAACCUGCCCUUAACUCUGGGAUAAGCCUGGGAAACUAGGUCUAAUACCGGAUAGGAGCGCCUACCGCAUGGUGGGUGUUGGAAAAAUUUAUCGGUUUUGGAUGGACUCGCGGCCUAUCAGCUUGUUGGUGAGGUAAUGGCUCACAAAGGCGACGACGGGUAGCCGGCCUGAGAGGGUGACCGGCCACACUGGGACUGAGAAGCGGCCCAGACUACUACGGGAGGCAGCAGUGGGGAAGAUUGCACAAUGGGCGAAAGCCUGAUGAAGCGACGCCGCGUGAGGGAUGACGGCCUUCGGGUUGUAAACCUCUUUCAGUAGGGAAGAAGCGAAAGUGACGGUACCUGCAGAAGAAGCACCGGCUAACUACGUG